UACGUAGGGUGCAGGCGUUAUCCGGAUUUACUGGGUUUAAAGGGUGCGUAGGUGGGUUUGUAAGUCAGUGGUGAAAUCUCCGAGCUUAACUCGGAAACUGCCAUUGAUACUAUAGAUCUUGAAUUAUCUGGAGGUAAGCGGAAUAUGUCAUGUAGCGGUGAAAUGCUUAGAUAUGACAUAGAACACCAAUUGCGAAGGCAGCUUACUACGGAUAUAUUGACACUGAGGCACGAAAGCGUGGGGAUCAAACAGG
rnacentral:rRNA from 1 species